rnacentral:rRNA from 1 species
CCCUGCACUUACAAGCUGUGGAAGCACAUUUCUUGUGUGACCGCGUACUUUUUGUAGAACGGGCCAACGAGUUACGUUAAGUAGCAAGGUUAAGCACUUAAGGUGCGGAUCCGUAGCGAAAGCGAGUGUUAACAGAGCGUUCAGUUACUUGACGUAGACCCGAAACCGGGCGACCUACCCAUGAGCAGGAUGAAGCGAAAGUAAAAUUUCGUGGAGGUCCGAACCCACGAGCG